GACGAACGCUGGCGGCGUGCCUAAUACAUGCAAGUAGGACGCAGUUGCGAACGGGUGAGUAACGCGUAGGUAACUGCCUCUUAGAGGGGGAUAACUAUUGGAAACGAUAGCUAAUACCGCAUACUAGUAGAUGGACCUGCGUUGUAUUAGCUAGUAGGUAGGGUAAUGGCCUACCUAGGCGACGAUACAUAGCCGAACUGAGAUGAUGAUCGGCCACACUGGGACUGAGACACGGCCCAGACUCCCACGGGGAGCAGCAGUUGGGGAUCUUCGGCAAUGGGGGGAACCCUGACCGAGCAACGCCGCGGGAAUGAAGAAGGUUUUCGGAACCUAAAGCUCUGUUGUUAAGGAAGCGGUACUUAACCAGAAAGGGACGGCUAACUACGUGCCAGCAGCCGCGGUAAUAC
rnacentral:rRNA from 1 species